rnacentral:lncRNA from 1 species
UCAUUAAAAACUAUUCCAAAAGACAUCAUGUUUAACAGAAUUUCAUAAGAGAAAACACGAGUUGAACUCAAAAUUUGAAAUGAGGAAAAUAAAGCCCCAAACAUCGGAGUAUCACUGAGUGAUGAGCAACUACUACAAACUGUUCGAAAAAUAGCAAGACUAAUAUAGUAUGAGAAUAACCAAAAUACACUAAAGGGAAGAUAAAGAAGGAGAAAAGCAGGAGUGUGAUCGCCAGGCAGCUACCUCGCUAUCUCCGAUGAUCUGCUACUAAGUAAAAUCAACAACCUCUACCGUGGCCAAAGAUGCAUGGAUCUGAACACAAGGUGCAAGGGGAUAACGUGAGUACAACAACUCAGUAAGUAACAAGUCCAAACUAUGGACUGAUAGGUAGUGACGAACUUAAGCUCAACAGGUAACAGAAACAAAUUGUGUAGGAAAAGUAGGCAUGCCAUCAAUUCAAGUAUACAGCUCAAACAGUAAAAUAAAACAUAGAUCUGAACAAUGUGAAAUAUAAAGCUCAGCUAAACUCUACAUGCCAAUGCACAAAAUGUAUGAAAUUCACUGUGUGCUCCCACUCUCAAGUGAUCAACCACUCGGUACUGCAUAUGGCCAUCCGGUCCAGGGAAAUCCAUCCCGAAACAUAUACGACACUGACUGCAAGUCAACCAGUACCGAGGAAGAAGGGUAAUCCAAACUUGAGGAGAAAUCCAUCUCCAGGUAUAUAUAUAUAUAUACUUUACCACUCGGUACCGCAUAUGGCCAGUCGGCCCAGGGAAAUCUAUCCCGGAACAUACUCAAUGUUGACUAUAAGUCACUCGGUACCGAGGAAAAGGUAAUCCAACCCUGUGGAGAAAUUCAUCUCCAGAUAUCAAUACUUCGGACAAAUCCAUGUCCAGGGAAAUCAAUCCCUCAAUAAUAUCAUCUGCGCUCACUGGGGGUGUGCAAUGCGGAGGGGCUCCGACAGCCUAAAAGCUAUCAUAAUCAUCAAUAUAACUGUUACGGCGUGCAGCCCGAUCCCAUAAAUAUCCUCAUAAUCAGGCUCCCGGCCUCACUCAGUCAUUACUCUCCAGUCUCACACACGGGCUCACAAUGCCAUGAAAACUAGCCCGGAACAAUUAUAUGAUGUGCCAAUAAAUAACAAAUGAGACUGAGACAUGAUAUGAAAUGCAUGAUUAAGACUGAGUGCAGAAUAUUAAUGAAACUAGUGAGAUGAUAGCAAUAAAUGGCCAAUAGGGGUCCCAACAGUAUCGUUGCGAAGCCCUAACAUGAUAUCUAGCAUGAUUUUUAGCUCAUUUACUUAAUCACAUGAUGGGAAAAUAGAUAUCAGCAAGAAAGAGUCACUAAACGGUGUCAUGGGAUGAACCAGGUCCCGAUUCUCACGGUGCACACCUGCACACCCGUCACUUGGAAUGUGCGUCACCCUAUGUCACGACCCAAUUUUCCCUCCGUUGGGUUUCGUGAUGGCACCUAGUCUUAGGGACUAAGUAAGCCUAACAUUUACUGAAUAUCAACCAUAAUAAAGAAAGUCUAACAGUUUCAACAUAGAAAUCUUUAUGAAAUUUACAUCUUCCCAAAAUCGGCGGUACAAGUCAUAAGCUCUACAGAGUUUCGCUACAAUUUCUAAACACAACUGUAUGGGAAUAAGUACAACUGUGCGAAUACGAAAUAUGAAGGUGACCCCGAAGCCUGCGAACGCAGCAUCAGGUUUAUCUUUAGUCUCCUUGACAAGAAUCUGCUCAGCUACUAACGAUCAAAACCUUGAUCUGCACAAAAAAUAUGCAGAAGUGUAGUAUGAGCACAACACAGCGGUGCUAGUAAGUAUCAAGACUAACCUCGGUAGAGUAGUGACGAGGGACAUCCAAGACACCCACUGGUCUAAUAAGCAGAACAAGUAUAAGUAUAGAAACAACCGAACAUGAUAUUUAUAUAAAGACUAAGCGACAUUGCUAACAAUACAGUAACUACAAUAAGGAAAGAAAAUAACAAGUAACAGUGGAACACCAUAAUAAAGCACAUAAAAGUGAAUGGAAAUACAACCCAAAUUAAAAAUCACAAAUAUAGUAAGGACAAAUCAUAACUCAGCAAGUACGACAGUUUUCACAUUAGGUCAUAGCCAACAACUUCAAUCAAUUAGUCGAAUCCUUUAGUUGAUAAAAACAUUUCGGAAAUAUAUUUCCUUCAAGUAAAUAUUUUUCCAAAAUUCUCAAAAAAUUAAUACCUUUCGAAUAUAACCCUUUCAAAUAAAUAUCCUUCGAAUAUAAGUCAAGCUGUGACACCUCAUCUCAUAAUCAUACAAUACGGGUCUUAAUACCUGAAACCUAACACUUAGCAUCUUGUGCCCUCAUCACAACUCAUAAUCAUACUAACAACUCACAUGCCUAAAAGAGUCAUUCUCACAUGGAAGGCAAAUAAAUAAGGGUGUGUGUCUAUACUCAGCAAUAUCAAGGAGACUCCUAUCCGAUAAGGGUGCUUAGCCACGUGUAUGCUCGUGCAAGUGUCCUAACAUAGUUCAUACCAGCUAGUAAGAAUAAGGACAAGAACGGACAGCACAUACAAUGUUUACACAGGGAUAGGACCAAUGAAAGCAACAACUCAGAACACAGUGAUAAUGACAGCGGAUCUCCCAGGAUACUGUCUCGUAGUCCCAAACAUAAAUGUGCAGGGGGAUCUCUCGGAAUACCAUUCCGUAGUCCCGAAGUAAAUGUUCAGAGCAGGGGAGUCUCCCGGAAUACCGUUCCUUCGUCCCAAAGUAAAUAUGCAAGACAUGAGAUCUCCCGGGAUACCAUCCCAUAGUCCCAAAUAUAAAUGUUCAGGAGGAUCUCCCGGAAUACCGUUCCGUAGUCCCAAAGUAAAUAUGCAAAACAGGGGAUCUCUCGGGAUACCGUCCCGUAGUACCAAAUGUAAAUGUGCAGGGGGAUCUCCCGGAAUACCAUUCCGUAGUCCCAAAGUAAAUAUGCAGCGCAACCAAAGAGAUAACAAUUACAGCACCGCAGAAAACCCGUACAUCACCACAACACGUACAACAACAACAAUGACAAUAAUACAAGGUACGACAAUUAAAUCAACUCAAGAACUGUAAAUCACGAAGAAACGGUAGAACCAGCUCACAGGAAUAACCACAGAAAAGAAUGUUGGCAUAAAGGGAACAGUUCAACAAAGGGAAAACUAACAUGUAGCAACGAUCCCACAAUAUACAAGUCAAUAAUAAGGAAAAUCAACACGAGUCAAGUAGUCCCAAAUAAAGGCAAGUCAACAAAGAUAUAGGUUAUCUAACUCCUUUUAAGGUUGGACAAUUAUGAGGAUAUUCGAUAAUUCAAUUAUGGAAAGAUUAUCUUAGCUUUCACUUAAGACUAAACAAUUUCAGGAGGGGUAAUGAUACAUUCUCAAUAAGACAAGCAGCCAUGAAAGGAUAGCAUGACAAUUGGAGAGGCGAAAUUCUUCAUUUAAAUCAAAUACAACUCAAUUAGGCAAUAAGAAUGAUUCAUGAAGCAAUUAAUUCCAAUUAAGCAUGUAGAGGGGAAACUAGUAAUAGAAAACUCAGUCAAAUCAAAAAUAACUUCAUGCAUAGUGAAUAUUAGGACCUAAGAACCCUAAAGUCCAAUUUCCCACAAAUAAUUCUGAGUACGCACUCAUCACCUCGCGUACACGAACUACAAUCAACAUAGAAGACUCAAAUCCUAAGGGGAAGUCCCCGACAUAAGGUUAGGAAAUAUACUUACCUCAAAGACGACAAACUGAAACUCUACAAUGCACUUCUCGAGUGAAAAGACCUCCGGACGGCUCAAAACUAAUCAAAUUAACUUCAAAGCACAAAUAAAUCACAUAAGAAAUUAUUUUGGAUCAUAGAGUCUUAGUCUUUAACAAAAUCUAAAAGCCGGUCCAAAAGUUGACCCUGGGACUCAUACCUCGGAACCCGACAAAUUUUACAAAAUCCGAAUACCUGUUCCCAUAUGAGUUCAACCAUACAAAAAUUAUCAAAUUCCGAUACUAUUUCGUCCCUCAAAUCAUGAAUUUUUAUUUUGAAAAUAUUCUUCAAAAACCAACAUUUUUCUCAACUCAAAACACAAAUUAAAUGAUGAAAUUCAUCAAAUAUGUUAGAUUCUAGGUGAAGAACAUUUACCCAAUCGAUUUGCUUUAAAAACCCCAAAAGAAGCUCCCAAAUCCGUAGUUUAAAACUCAAAAUAUGAAGAAAUGGCCAAACCCUUGACUUAUAUGAUUAUGCCAGGACUUCCGCAUCUGCGGUCAAGAAAUCGCAUAUGCGGGACCGCAUUUGCGAGAGAGAGUCCGCACAUGUGAACUCAGUUUACCCAGCCAGGGACUGCAUCUGCGGAUAUAUAGCCGUAUCAGCGACACUGCAAAAGCGAAAAGGUAAUCGCAGGAGAGAGAUUUCUCCGCAGGUGCGAUAGUUGGACUGCAGAAGUGGCCUUCGCAUCUGUGUGCCAGCCUCCGCAGAAGCUCCCAAGCAAUCAUGACCGCAGAAGCGGCCAAGCUCAUGCAAAAGCAGAGCCACACCUGCGCUCCAAGGUCACAGGUGCGAAAACACCAGAAAUCAGACAUGCUCAAAACCAUGCAAAACAUCCGAAGCUCGUCUGAAUCACACCUGAGGCCUGCAGGACCCCGUCUAAGCACACAAACAAGUUCUAUAACCUAACACGGACUCGCUCGAGGUCACAAAUCACAUCAAAUAAUACCGAAAAUGUAAAUCACACCAUGAAUCGAGCUUAUGAACUUUCAAAUCUUCCAACUUCUAGAACUCGCGCCGAAACCUAUCAAAUCAACCCAGAAUGACACCAAACUUUGCAGACAAGUCCAAAAUGACAUACAGAGCUACUACAACUCUCAAAAUCGCAUUCCGACCCCAAUAUCACAAUAGUCAACCAUGGGUCGAACUUCUCCAUUUUCCAAACUUCAACUUUUCCAACUUUUACUAUUUUGCCUCAACUUACUAUACGGACUUCCAAAUCCAAAUACGAAUGCGCGCCUAAGUCCAAAAUCACCAUACGAAGCUGUUGAGACCAUCCAAAACCCAUUUUGGGGCCGUUUACUCAAAAGUCAAUUCCAGUUAAAUUCUCACCGCUUAAGCGUCCAAAACUAGAUUCCUGCUCCCAAUUCGACUCUGAAUCAUCCCGUAACUGAAUUCAACCCUGCAAGCAAGUCGAUAAACAUAAUAUGAAGCUAUUCAAGACAUUUCAUCACCGAAUGGAGCUUAAUUUCUCAAAACGACCGGCCGGGUCGUUACAUCCUCCCCCUCUUAAAACAACGUUCGUCCUCGAACGUGCCAUGAUUCGCUGAAUCCACACUUCUAAUAUACACCCGCGGGUGAUACUACGUCGCACCAAUCCACAUAAACCUGACGACACCACCUCGACUAUAAUUUUGCCUUUCUACCAACAUCGAUAUGCCUUAUAGCAUAAAUUCUUAUCUUCUAUUCACUUCCAAAAGACCCGAUUUGAAAAUGAUAUUCGGUAUCAGUCUCAACCAGCUGUAUCAACCCAUUCCUACACCUAAUAGAGUACAACCACACAACAUGACAUAUCACACAUAGGCCCACAAUAAGAGUUUUAAUCAUAAUAUCCGCCCGAAAUCAAAUUCCAGCACCGACCAUAAGCUUUAUAUUCAAUAGGAACCUGUUUCAAACCUUCACAACACUGACGAUGAUUCAAGAACCACGAAAACCUCAUAACUAACAACCAAAUCAACAAGCCACAACUAACACCACUUGGUACACACCCCACAAAGCUAAAAUUUAAGAAGCACAAAAUGAAAAUGACUGGAUAUGUAAAGAGAAACACACAAGAGAACUACCAAACAAGCCCGACAGGCAAAACUCUCUAUCAGUAAAAAUUCUACAAAUCAACACAAGGAAAAGUCAAAAUAUAUGAACAAAUCUCAAGAAUCUCAUCCUGAUAUAAUUAUCCACCACGGCAUGUACCCCGUCUCAACACGUCAAAUCACAUGAAAUUACGAGGGUCUCACCCUUAAUUCUGAAUCACAAGUAGGAUACACAUCAAACCAGUUGGAAACUCUCACUAGAUCAACUACAUCAUAAUUUACAACAAGUGCUAGCUCCCACACUAGUGGAGUAUAAAAAAAAUCAUAGCUCGUAGCAAAAAAUACUCAUAAAUCACAUCAAGUCUACCGAAAUGGAUAACAGAAAUGUAUUACUAGUCUCAUAACUCUCAACAAUGAUUAGAAAUAACGAUAGACACGACUAUCACUCAUAGAACCUCCCAACAUGGUAACACAUAAAUAGAGUGCAAAUCAUGAAACACACCCAUAAGUGGAGCAACAAAUAGGGGAACUCACCCCGAUAGGUAGAACUGUAAUGAACUACGGCUGGUCCUCCUAUAUAACGAACCAAAAUAAUACCUGAAUGACAUCAUCUGGCAUAGCGGUCUUAAGCCUACUAUAUGAAACACAGCAACAGGACGUGCCUCACCCUCUUGGGCGCCCUCUACUCGCAUGAAUACCUCAUUGUGACGCAUUUGUCAGAAGUUUGGGACAAUAUAUCACCAUAUGGCUAGUAUCUCCAUACUCAAAGUAACCUCGAUGCUGAUGUGGCUAUAGGAAUUGUGCGGUAUAGGUACUUUAAGACCCAUGAACACCUGAAUUAUAGUGCGAAGUUUGAAGCACAAAUUGAACUGGCUGACCCACGAAACCUCUACCAUGCCGCACCUUGCCUCCAAAAUAAGAACCAACAGAUCUCUCUGGUCUACGAGGCCUCCUCACCUCCCCGCACUCUCUCUCCUGAUCUCGCAUGUCCUCCAUUCUCGGUCCCACAUGCCCUCUAACCGACGAGCGAUCCCUACCACCUGUUGAAACAAAAUACCUGACUCCAACUCCCGAGUCAUGUUGAGUUGAAUAUCAUGCCUGAGCCCCCCCCCCCCCUCCCAAAUGAAUCUACAGACUCGCUCUCUAAUAGUAGCGACCAAGGCAGGUGCAUGUCUGGCCAAAUUACUGAAUCUGGUGACAUACUCUAACAUUGACUUAGUGCUCUAGCGCAGCUGCUCAAACUCCACGUGCCAUGCGUCCCGAAGGGACUGAGGUGCAAACUCUCUCAAGAACAUCUCUAAAAACUGACCCCAUGUAAGUGAAGCUGUAUCGGCUGGGCUACCCAACACAUAUGCCCGCCACCACUGAUAAGUUGCUCCCUGAAGCCGGUACGUAGUAAAAGCAACUCCACUCGCCUCAACAAUACCCAUAGUGCGAAGAAUGCGAUGGCACUCCUCUAUGAAACCUCGUGCGCUCUCUGAAGCCAAACCACUGAAUGUAGGAGGGUCAUAUUCCUUGAACCUUGCAAAUCUAAAUUUCCCUCCCUCAGAUGUUGCUGCCCUGACUAUGGGCUAAACUAGAACCAUAGGCCGUGUCGCCAUGACACCUGGAACCUGACCAACGGGAACUCGCUGCUCUGGAGUGCGGCCAGCAGGAGUCUGAGUCCCUCCCUCUGUCUGUGAAGUAGCUGGUGCAACUGGAAUCAACCUCGCCUAAGCCAAUGUACCAAACAUGCUCAUAAGCUCAUAACCGGCGGUACAACUCAUAAGCUCUAAGAGUGUCGCUACAACUUCUAAACACAACUGUAUGGAAAUAAGUACAACAGUGUGAAUACGAAAUAGGAAGGUGACUCUGAAGCCUACGAACGCAACAACAGGUUUACCUUGAGUCUCCUCGGCAAGAAUCCACUCAGCUACUAACGAUCAAUACCUGGAUCUGCAUAAAAACUAUGCAGAAGUGUAGUAUGAGCACAUCAAAGUGGUGUCCAGUAAGUAUCAAGACUAAUCUCGGUGGAGUAGUGAUGAGUAAAAGUCAAGAAAUCCACUGGUCUAAUAAGCAAAACAAGUAUAAGUAUGGAAACAACCGAAUAUGAUAUCUAUAUAAAGACUAGGAGAUAUUGCUAACAAUAAAAUAACUAUAAUAAGGAAAGAAAACAACAAGUAACAUCAGAACACCAUAAUAAAGCGCAUAAAAGUGAACAGAAAUACAACACAAAUUCAAAAUCACAAAUACAGUAAGGACAAAUCAUAACUCAGCAACUACGACAGUUUUCACAUUAGGUCAUAACCAACAAACUUCAAUCAAUUAGUCAAAUCCUUCAGUUGAUAAAACCAUUUCAAAAUAUACUUCCUUCACAUAAAUAUUUUUCCAAAAUAGUUCUCUAAAAAUGAAUACCUUUGGAAUAUAACCUUUUCAAAUAAAUAUCCUUCGAAUAUAAGUCACCCUGUAACACCUUAUCUCAUAAUCAGAGAAUACGGGUCUCAGUACCUGAACCCUAACACUUGGCAUCAUGUGCUCUCACACACCUCAUACUCAUACUGACAACUCACGUGCCUAAAAGAGUCAUUCUCACAUGGAAGGCAAAUAAACAAGGGUGUGCGUCUAUACUCAGCAAUAUCAAGGAGCCUCAUAUCCGAUAAGGGUGCUUAGCCACGUGUAUGCUCAUGCAAGUGUCCUAACAUAGUUCAUACCAACUAGUAAGUAUAAGGACAAGAACAGACAUCACAUAUAAUGUUUACACAGGGAUAGGAUCAAUGAAAGCAACAGCUCAAAACACAGUGAUAAUGAUAGGGGAUCUCCUAGAAUACUGUCCCAUAGUCCCAAACAUAAAUGUGCAAGGGGAUCUCCCGGAAAACCGUUCUGUAGUCCCGAAGUAAAUAUUCAGAACAAGGGAGUCUCUCAGAAUACUGUUCUGUAGUCCCAAAGUAAAUAUGUAGAACAUGGGAUCUCCCGGGAAACCAUCCCAUAGUCCCAAAUAUAAAUGUACAGGGGGAUCUCCCGGAAUACCGUUCUAUAGUCCCAAAGUAAAUAUGCAGAGCAGGGGGAUCUCUUGGAAUACCGUUCCGUAGUCCCAAUGUAAAUAUGCAGAACAUGGGAUCUCCCUGGAUACCGUCCCGUAGUCCCAAACGUAAAUGUGUAGGGGGAUCUCCCGAAAUACCGUUCUGUAGUCCCAAAGUAAAUAUGCAGCGCAACCAAAGAGAUAACAAUUACCGCAUGAUAGAAAACUCGUACAUCACCACAACACGUACAACAACAACAAUGACAAUAAUACAAGGUACAACAAGUAAAUCAACUCAAGAACUGUAAAUCACAAAGAAACGGAAGAACCAGCUCACAAGGAAUAACCACAAAAACGAAUGUUGGCAUAAAGGGAACAGUUCAACAAAGGGAAAACUAACAUGUAGCAACGAUCCAACAAUAUACAAGUCAAUAACAAGGAAAAUCAACACAAGUCAAGUAGUCCCAAAUAAAGGCAAGUCAAUAAAGAUAUAAGUUAUCUAACUCCUUUUAAGGUUGGACACUUACGAGGAUAUUCGAUAAUUCAAUUAAGGAAAGAUGAUCUUAGCUUUCACUUAAGACUAAACAAUUUCAGGAGGGGUAAUGAUACAUUCUCAAUAAGACAAGCAGCCAUAAAAGGAUAGCAUGACAAUAGGAGAGGCAAAAUUCUUCAGUUAAAUCAAAAACAAGUCAAUUAGGCAAUAAGAGUGCUUCAUGAAGCAAUUAAUCCAAUUAAGCAUGUAGAGGGGAAACUAUUAAAUAGGAAACUCAAUCAUAUCAAGAAUAACUUAAUACAUAGUGAAUAUAAGGACCUAAAAACCCUAAAGUCCAAUUUUCCACAAAUAAUUCUGAGUACGUACUCGUCACCUCGCGUAUACGAACUACAAUCAACAUAGAAGACUCAAAUCCUAAGGGGAAGUCCCCACACAAGGUUAGGAAAUAUACUUACCUCAAAGAUGACAAACCGAUACUCUACAAUGCACUUCUCGGGUGAAAAGAUCUCCGGACGGCUCAAAUCUAACCAAAUUAACUUCAAAGCACAAAUAAGACACAUAAGAAACUAUUCCGGAUCAUAGACUCUCAGUCUUUAACAAAAUCUAAAAAUUGGUCCAAAAGUCGACCCCGGGGAUCGCACCUCGGAACCAGACAAAUUUUAUAAAAUCCGAAUACCCAUUCCCAUAUGAGUUCAACCAUACAAAAAUUAUCAAAAUUCGAUACUAUUUCAUCCCUCAAAUCAUGAAUUUUUAUUUUGAAAAUUUUCUUCAAAAAACCAACAUUUUUCUCAACUUAAAACACAAAUUAAAUGAUGAAAUUUAUGAAAUAUGUUAGAAUCUAGGUGAAGAACACUUACCCAAUCGAUUUGAUUAAAAACCCCACAAAAGAAGCUCCUAAAUCUGAAGUUUAAAACUCAAAAUAUGAAGAAAUGGCCAAACCCUUGACUUAUAUGAUUCUGCCAAGACUUCCGCAUCUGCGGGACCGCAUUUGCGAGAGAGAGUCCGCAUCUAUGAACUCAGUUUACCAAGCCAGGGACUGCAUCUGCGGAAAUACAGCCGCAUCAGCGACACCGUAGAAGUGAAAGGGAAAUCGCAGGAGAGAGAUUUCUUUGCAGGUGCGAUAGCUGGACUGCAGAAGCGGCCUUCACACCUACGUGCCAGCCUCCGCAAAAGCUCCCAAGCCUUCAUGAUCGCAGAAGCGGUCAGGCUCACGCAAAAGUGGAGCAGCACCUGCGCUCCAAGGUCGCAGGUGCGAAAACACUAGAAAUCAGACAUGCUCAAAACCAUGCAAAAUAUUCGAAGCUCGUCUGAAUCACACCCCAGGCCUGCGGGACCCCGUCUAAGCACACAAACAAGUUCUAUAACCUAACACGGACUGGCUCGAGGUCUCAAAUCACAUCAAACAACACCAGAAAUGUAAAUCACGCUAUGAAUCGAGCUUAUGAAUUUCCAAAUCUUCCAACUUCUAGAACUCGCGUCGAAACCUAUCAAAUCAACCCAGAAUGAUGCCAAACUUUGCAGACAAGUCCAAAAUUACAUACAGAGCUGCUCCAACUCUCGAAAUCACAUUCCGACCGUGAUAUCACAAAAGUCAACCAUGGGUCAAACUUCUCCAUUUUCCAAACUUCAACUUUUCCAACUUUCGCUGUUUUGCCUCUACUUACUCUACGAUCUCUAAAUCCAAAUAUGGACGCGUUCCUAAGUCCAAAAUCACCACACGAAGCUGUUGAGACCAUCCAAAACCCAUUCCUGGGUUGUUUACUCAAAAGUCCAAUUCCGGUCAAAUUCUUACCGCUUAAGCGUCCAAACCUAGAUUCCUUCUCCCAAUUCGACUCUGAAUCAUCCUGUAACUAAAUUCAACCCUGCACGCAAGUCGAUACACAUAAUAUGAAGAUGUUCAAGACCUUUCACCGCUGAAUGGAUCUUAAUUUCUCAAAAUGACCAGCCGGGUCGUUACACCCCAAUACUAAUCACAUAACACAUAGUUCAGGGUUUCGAACCCUCAGAACCAAGUUUGAAAGCGUUACUUACCUCAAACCAUGCAACUCCUACUCUGAAUGAUUUUGCCUCUCAAAUCAGCCUCUGAAUGCCUCGAAUAUAGCAACAAACAAUUCGAUAUAAGCAACAUGAGCCAGAGGAAUCAAUCCUAUAAGAAAAUACUAAACUUUAGGUCAAAAGUCAACUCAAAAGUCGGGACCCGGGCUCACAUCUCAAAGUUUGACCAAAGUUUCAAAAUUCGACAACCUAUGAGAUUACGAGACCAACCAUACUUUCACUCAAAUCCGACUUCGAAUCGGCUUUCAAUUCUCAAAAAUUUAUUUUGAUAAAAUCUCCACAUUUUUUCCUAAAUUUUCAUCUCAAAGCACUAAUCAAAGGAUGAAAUCAAUGAUAUAUUCAUAUAUAUUAGCCAAAUCCGAGUUAGAAUCACUUACCCUAAUGAAGUUCUUGAAAAACCCACGAACAAUCGCCUCACACCGAGCUCCCAAAGUCCAAGAUGUGAAAUAAAACCCUAAGCCUCGCUUAUGUAGUGCUCUCUGAACCUUUACUGUGCGGUCUGAAUAAUUUCAUUACGGGCGCACUCUGCCAGCACUGUAGUCUCAUAAUCCUGCUACGGUCGCAGUCCUGAGUCCUCCUCCUUUUGUGGUCCGCAUAAAUCCACUGCAGCCGCACACUCCUCACUGCGGUCCACAACAUUUUGCUGCGUCCGCAUUUCACCUCUACGGUCCGCACCAUAUUUGUGCGGUCCGCACUCCUAAGAGCAGAGAUCAAUACUUAGAGUGUCGAACCUAUCAAAUCACAGCCUAUUGACUCCAAAUUCCACAUACAAGCCAACAAUGACACCAUUAAUCUAUUCCAACUUACCGGAAAUCUCAUCCGGCCCCGAUAUCAUAUUUCCACUUCCAACCAAAAUCGCCAAAAUUCCAACUUUUGCCAAUUCAAGUCUAAACCUACUAUAGACCUUCAAAUCACAUUUUGAACGCGCUCCUAAGUCCAAAAUCACCUGCCAGAGUUAACAGAGCCAUCAAAAAUCAAAUAUGAGAUCGUUUAUAAAUAAGUCAACAUUCGGUCAACUUUUUCAACUUAACCCUUCCUGUAAGAAACUAAGUGUCUCAAUUUACUCCAAAACCACUUCGAACCCAAACCAACUAACCCGGUAAGACAAAAUUCAGCUGAAGAACACAAAAGAAGCAAUAAAUGGGGAAACGGGGCUUUAACUCUCGAAAUGACCAGCCGAGUCGUUACAUGUUAGCGCCAUAGAUUUCCUUUCGUGCCUUCUCAGUUGUCUUUAAAUGUAAGAAAUUACUUUUCCUGGUCAUUGUACCACUUUUUGCAUGAAUACUUAGGUUAUCUUAGUACCCUCACAUACUGUAAUUCCAUGCAACCCAUAUGAUCUCGAAUAUUACUUUUGAUUUUUCCUUCCCGUUCAUUAGUAACAAUAGGUUCCACUUAUUAUAGAGUGCAUAUGAUGUUGUAGUGAGAUUAUUAUUACAAGACCAUUAUUUCUUUAGGUCACUAUACUUAAGUUGAAGCCUUCUUCCUUAUUUCCUCAACUAGUCUUUUGUUGUAAUACUUAGUGGAGACCCUCUGACUCUUGUAAAGCUGUGAGCUUAUUACAUUGUAUACCCGACGGAAUUUUUGAUGUUCUUACUCGCCUAUAAAUAUCCUUAGUUACAUACCCCCUUGACCCUAUGCUCGUAGGGUUACUUCUGAACUCAAAUUUUGAUUGUCUCCUUAGUGGCACUCUCUCUUAUUUUCGUAAAACUUAAACGAUACCUUUAACUACCCCAACUCCUAUUUGAAAAUUUUUCAAGCAUUGAGAUCUCGUAUCUGGGAGAUUGAAUUCCCUAUGCUGGGGUUCAUUAUGUUUAUCUUGCAUGAUCUAUUGAUUUAUCUAUGGCCUCUUGUCUAGCCAUAACUAGGCUCUUCCUGAAUCAACUACUGACUACUCGUUGGUCCAUUCUCAUAUCUAUAUUUUGUAUAACCUCUCUUGAGGUAUGUUUUUUCCUCUUAACUUACCUCUCGCGCUGGAUCCUUAUAUAUCAAGUGUCCAUUCGCACUUAUUUACCUAAUAACAUCCAUUCGCACUUAUUUACCUAAUUUUGAUUAAUUAAAUCACUAUGUUAAUAAUUCAAAAUUAGUGUUACCAUUUAGAAAUAAAGUAUUUUAUAAAUAAUUGAUUACAAUAAUUGAUGAUUAUAAUUUUUACUACAUUUUAUUAAAAAUAAUUAAGUUUAUUUAAAUUACCAUGGUCGUUGAUCAAAUGAUCCAACGGUCCAGAUCAUUCCCUCCAACUUUAACCUAAAGACUAUUUGGUUUCAUUCCAUAACUCUAAUUUAUUUGUCACUAAUUCAUGCCGCCCCAUUUCCCUUUUCUAUCUCAUUUUCUCUCAAGCUUCAAACCAUCGGUCCCAGAACACCUUGCACCAAAUCGUGCAAGGUUAUGAAUCAUGACCCCAAAUCAUUCCCUAUGUCUUCUGACUUCGGAAAUCUCGAUGUUAUCUUUCUACACCAAUUUUGUAUCGAUGAACAAUUUAAUACGCUAGAAAUUAGACUCGUAGACCAUAAAUUUGAUAGGUGGAUAACUACAUAAUUCGUAUUAUAUUAAGAGAAAAGCUCUGAUACAUUUGACCUAAUUUUCAGCACAUUUACGAAUGUAACUUUUGAUGACCAUUGCCAACUUUUGUUCCAAAGCUCGCUUGACUUUAAAACUCAACAUAAGACUAUCGUACGACUAUAAUAACUCAUAACAUAACCUCCUUAUCAUGUUAAGAACACUAGUCUCACCCCAAAAAUACAUGUUAUAAUAUUUCCAAUUUGCCGACUUCCGACGAAACUUAAUUUUAUCAAUUUGUUUAGCUUCUACGCCUUCAAUCCCUCUUGAUACUUGUUAUUAUUGAUCUUAAAUAUUUAUAACCUCUAAGGUAACAUAAUUAACUUACUUUAUAUACUUCCAAAUAUUAUCUCAUUUCUGAUCUUACAUCAAUUGACUUACGACGCAAUCCCACGUACGAAAAUACGGGGUGUAACAACUAGGUAUUACAAUAAGGUUUUUUUCUUCAACUGGAAAAAUGGUAUAUUCUUUUUUCUCUACCCCUAAGCAAUAUAUAUUAUAGUGUGCAAUGACAAAUCCACAUUGAUCGAAGUAAAAUCACUUCGUCGGAAAAUUAUACUAAAUAAUUAUUAGUAUUAUACUGAUUCUACUAUAUAAUAAGAGAGAGUUAGAAGACAUCUGGAUGAAAUGUCUACUUAGGAUUUAGGGGGCAUUAAUGUCUUUUUUCUUUAAAUGUGCUUCCUCCUGGAAGUACCCUCAGCUAUCUUGUUUGAACUCCAAUAUUUUAAGCCAACAAAUGAUUUGAACGACCUAUAAAAAGGGUUCUACGACCUGUAGAAAUUCAUUAAACAUGGUGGUUCAGUUCAUUCUUUGAUUGCUCUACUCCCCCAAACAAACCCUUUUGCGAUGUCAGGUGGGCAUGUGAAGACCCACAAGUUCAUCCCAAUUUAUAGCACAUGGCAUACGUCACCUCUGACAAAUAACAUAGCUUGCUUUUUAGAGGAGUCUUCAACCACAUGCUUUCACUCUUUUUCAUCAUAAAUUUUUUAGAGUAAAAUAUUUGACAUUAAAAUUAACAAAAUAUUCAAUAAAAUUUACAAAAUCAGGAAAUAUAAGCCACAUAACAGGCAAAUCGGAUAUAUUUUCUAACUGUGUGAUUCACUUUAAAAUAUAAUUAUAUAAAUUUGGAAGUGUUUGGAGAUAGAUAUACCAUUUAAAACUAUUUAAAAAAGUUUACCUUAAUUUGUUAUUUAAUAUUAAAAAUAAGAAUAAGCAGAAUAUUAACUAUUGUAAACAAGUAACUACAUAUAUUCUAUACUACAAAUUAUUUGCAUAAGACUAAUCCUUAAAUAUUACUAUGCCAUUUAAAUUUAUAUGCCAAAUCUUUAAGUAUUUGUAUGGAUGUCAAACCAAUUGAAUCUUCAUAAUAAGUUUUAAAUGUCAAUUAAAAACUUUGUAACGACCCGACCAGUCGUUUUAAGAAUUAAUGCCCCGAUCUUCUAUUAACUACUAUUCCCGUGUUUAUUUCUGUAUAUGUGAGUUGUCGGGAGAAUUCGUUUGGAGUUUUGAAGUAUUUUGGGAUAUUUAGUCCCUCAAUGAGAGCUUUAAAAUUUGGACCGUAGUCAAAGUAGUGUGAUCAUGGCCUCUAAAUGGAAUUCAAUAGGUUCUGUUAGCUCCAUUGGGUGAUUUUAGGCUUAGGGGCAUGUUCGAAUUGUGUUUUGGAGGUUCGUAGCUUAUUUAGGCUUGAAAUGCUGAAAGUUGAAUUUUUGAAGUUUCCAGUUUGAUGGCGAGAUUUUGAUAUAGGGAUCAGAAUGGAAUUCCGGAAAGUCGAGUAGGUCCCUGGUGUCAUUUGGGAUGUGUGUGCAAAACUUCAGGUCACUCAGGCAAGGUUUGGUAGACUUUUUGAUCGAAAGCGAAAUUUGGAAGUUUUGAAACCCUUAGGCUUGAAUCCAAGAGUGUUUUGAUGAUUUGAUGUUGUUUUAAGUGUUUUGAAGAUUGGUAUAAGUUUGAAUAGUGGUAUAUGACUUGUCCGUAUUUUUCGUUAAGGCCCCGGGGGCCUCGGGAUGAUGUCGGAAGGUUGUCGGAAGAAUUGGGAGUUUGUUUGAGCAGCUUCAGCUGCUGAACUUCUGUCAUAACCGCACCUGCGAAUUGGAGACCGUAGGUGCGUGAUUGCAGAAGUGUGGGAGAAGCUGCAAAUGCGGCCAUGAGCUAGAAGACCAGAAGUCACAGGUGCGAGAGGUUGAGCACACCUGCGAGACCGCAGGUACGGUAAGUGAAGCGUAGGUGCAACCCCAGUGCAAUUAGUGGUUUCCACAAAUGCGCACCUAGGACCACAGGUGCGAGUCCGCAAGUGCGGAAACCCUGGGACAAAACCUAUAUAAAGGUCCCUUCGUGAUUUCAGCUCAUCUUUCACCAUUUUCACCAGGGAUUGAAGCUUUUGGGAGGUUUUUGAGAGAGAAUCCAAGGGAAAUUUGAGGAGGUAAAGUUUUUGGAACCAAAACUCAUUUAUAUGGUAUUAUUCUAUUGAUUUGGCAAGAAAUUUAUGGAAAAUGAGGGUUAAAACUGGGGGUUUUGGGUUUGAAAUUGGAGACUCGAUUUAGGGAUUUGAGGGGUUGUUUGUGGUCCAAUUUUGAUGUAUUUGGUAUGUGUGAACUCGUGAGAGUGUAAGGAUUCUAGUUUUGCGAAUUUUAUCUGAUUCCAAGACAUGGGCCCGGGGUACUUUUUGGGUAAUUUUCUUAAUUUCGCGUGUUAGCUUCGAAUUCAUUAGUUAAUUAGUUACUUGAAGUUAUAUUUACAUUAUGCAAUUACUUUGAAUAGAUUAUUUGGAGUCGGGUACUUGUGGUAAGAAUGUGGUUUCGAGUUGAUUGAGCUAGUUCGAUGUAAGUGGCUUGCUUAACCUUGUGUGGGGGAACUCCCCUUAGGAUUUGGUAUUUUUGUUAUAUGACUACCGUGUACAUGAGGUGACGAGUGCGUACAUGUGCUAAUUGUUGAAAAUCCAUUUUCAAUAAGCUAAUUCCUAUGUUUUCUUGUAAUUUAGAAAAUACUUGUACUUGAAGCCUCUUGUUUAGAUUAGGAAAAGCAUGCCUACGUGACUUAAUUAUCUUACCUGCUCUAAUUGCCUACUUGUACUCUGUGCAACAUGUUAGAGUAGAAAUUCCUAUCUAAUUCUUUAAUAGAACUGUUUAUUUUUCUGAGAUGAUUGUGUGUUUACUUUGGGACUACGGGACGAUAUCUCGAGAGAUCCCCUGACUUGUUUACUUUGGGACUACGGAUUGGUAUUCCGGUAAAUCCCCUUGCUCAUUUAUGAUUGGGACUGCGGGACAGCACCCGGUAGAUUCCCCGUACUGGAUAUUUACUUUGGGACUAUGGAUUGGUAUUCUGGGAGUUUUCCUUGCACAUUAAUGAUUUGGACUACGGGGCGAUAUCCCGAGAUAUCCUCUAGACAUUUACGUUUGGGACUAUGGGAUGGUAUCCCGGGAGAUCCUCUGUUGCUAUUUCUGUAUACUGAGUUAGAUUCUUUCUGUGUUUUCAUUCAUUAUAGACUGUUAGCACUUUAAUUAUAUUGUCGUAUUUUACACCAUUUUACCUUGUUUUUCAUCUAUAAUCAGUAGGGCCCUGACCUUCCUCGUCACUACUCGACCGAGAUUAGGCUUGACACUUACUGAGUAACGUUGUGGUGUACUCAUGCCCUUUCCUGCAUAUGUUUUCGUGUGCAGAUCCAAGUUCUUCGGCGUCAUACCAUCAGUGAGGCGAGGUGAUCUUCAGAGACUACGAGGUAUAUAUGCGGCGUUCGCAGACCGAGGAGUCCCUCUCUAUUCUUCCCUCUAGCUAGCUUUAACUCUCCUGUAUUUACUUUUGUUUAGAAAUUCUGGAGUUAGAACACUUGUAGUUAUUCAACAACUUGUGAUUUCAUGAGAUUCCGAGUUUUGGGAGGUGUUUCAGUUUGAGAGUUUAUAUUUGUAUAUGCCGAGCAGCAUUUUAAAUGUUUCAUUUAUGUUUUAUCCACAGUUUUUGGUUAGUUUUAUCUUUCAUUUACUUUUUCUGCAAAUUGUUAGACUUUCCUAGUCGUAGAGACUAGGUGCCAUCACGACAGUUCACGGAGGGCGAAAUCGGUUCGUGACAAGUUGGUAUCAGAGUUCUAGGUUUAUAGGAGUCAUGAAUUACAAGCUGGUUUAUUAGAGUCUCACGGAUCGGUAUAGAGAUGUCUGUGCUUAUCUACGAGAGGCUAUGUAAAGAAAAAUUCCACUUCAUUUGAUUUCCUUGUCGUACGAGAUUUUGGUAUCACAAUUCUAAACUUUUUUCUUUUAUUCUCUCACAGAUGGUGAGGACACGUACUAACGGAGAUGACCAGGCACCUGCACCCUCUACUAGAACCAUCAUAGGUUGGGGCUGGGGUAGAGGCUGAGGACACCCACGUAGUGCAGCCAGAGCACUCGCACGAGCUGCCACCAAGGAGCCACCAGCAGCUCCAGCCAGAGUCCAAGCACCUGAUACACCUACUGAUACUAUUAUUCCAGCUCUUCAGGAUACUCUUGCACAGUUCGUGAGCAUGUACACCACUCUAGCUCAUGCAGAGUUGAUUCUCCUUACUGUAGCCACAUCCUAGGCCGGGGGAGGAGAACAGACUCCCAUGUCGUACUCUUGAGCAACAGGUCCAGGUUGAUCAGAUUCCAUAGGUUAUACCGGUACCUCCUGUAGCUGCAGUUCAGCCCGAGGACAAGGCAGCGGCUUCAUAGGAUGAGCAGCAGAGGCUUGAGAGAUUCAAGAAGUACAAGCCUCCUAUAUUCAGUGGUUUAGCAUCAGAUGAUGCCUUGGGAUUUCUGGAGGAGUGUUACCGUAUCCUCCUUACUAUGGGUAUAUCAGGAUAGAGUGGGGUUUCUUUCACUGCCUUCUAACUUCGAAGAGUAGCCUACCAGUGGUGGUUUACUUUUGAGUUGGAUAGUCCAGCUGAGGCAGCAUCCCUUACUUGGACUCAUUUUUCAGAUAUGUUCUUGAGAGAGUUUGUCCCUCAGAGCCUCAGGGAUGUAUGGCGCGUAGAGUUUGAGCAUUUGUGCCAGGGCACUAUGACUGUUUCGGAGUAUGCUGUCCGUUUCACUGACUUGGCUAGGCAUGCACCAACCUUGGUUUCUAGAGUUCGUGAGAGGGUUUGUCGGUAUAUUGAGGGGCUCAUUCCCAACACCACGUCUAGCAUGGCUCGUAAGUUAGAGAUGGAUAUUUCUUAUCAGCAGGUGGUGAGCAUUGCUAAGAGAGUAGAGGAUAUGCAUUCUCUGGGAUAGAGAGGAGAGGGAGGCCAAGAGGUCUCGAGAGUCGGGCCAUUAUUCUAGUUUCCGUGUUCCAGCUGCAGUUUGUCAUGGUAGGGGUUAUAUGAGACCCUGUUCAUUCAGCUCGUCCAGCAGCCAGUGGUAUUCCACCUCCUCCUAUACCUUAGGAGCCUUACUAUGCACCUCCAAUAUCAAGUGCACCUCCUGCACGGGGUGUUUUUAGUAGUUAGUCUAGCAAACCUGGCCCGAGCCAGUCACAGCCACCGCGCCCUUCUAGAGCUUGUUUUGAGUGUGGCGACACAUGCUAUAUGGUUAGGGAUUUCUCCAGACUUAGGAGAGGUGCACCUCCACAGACUCCUCAACCACAGCGUGCCUCGUAGAGUUCCUAGGCUAUGGUUCAAGCACCAGUUGCUACCCCACCUGCUCAUCCAGCUAGAGGUGGAGGUCAAGGAGGUAAAGGUCGCCCUAGAGGGGGAGGCCAUGCCAUAUAUUAUGCCCUUCCUGCCCGUACUGAGGCUGUUGCCUCUGAUUCUGUCAUUACAUGUAUUGUCCUGGUUUAUCAUAGAGACGCAUCAGUUCUAUUCGAUCCAGGCUCCACUUAUUCUUAUGUGUCUUCUUAUUUUGCCCCCUAUUUGGUCGUAUCUCAAGAUUCUUUGAGUUCCCCUAUUUAUAUUUCUACUUUUGUAGGGGAUUCUCUUGUUGUGAACCGCGUUAUUGGUCAUGUUUGGUUGCUCUUAGUGGUUUUGAGACCAGAGCCGAUUUAUUAUUGCUCAACAUGGUAGAUUUCGAUGUUAUCUUGGGCAUGGACUGGUUUUCGCCCCAUUAUGAUAUUCUUGAUUAUCAUGCCAAAACCUUGAUGUUGGCUAUGCCAGGUGUACUGCGAGUAGAGUGGAGGGGUACUUUAGAUCACACUUCCAGUAGAGUUAUUUCUUUCCUUAAAGCUCAAUAAAUGGUUGCGAAGGGGUGUGAAGCUUAUCUAGCCUAUGUGAGAGAUGUUAGUGUUGAUACCCCUACAGUUGAUUCAGUCCCAGUAGUACGGGACUUCCCUAAUGUGCUUCCAACUUACCUUCGGGGCAUGCCGUCCGAUAGAGAUAUUGAUUAUGGCAUUGAUUUCUUGCCGGGCACUCAGCCCAUUUCUAUUUCUCUGUACUGUAUGGCUUCUCUUGAGUUGAAGGAGUUGAAGGAUCAGUUGUAGGAAUUUCUUGAUAAGGAUUUUAUUCAGCCCAGUGUAUCACCUUGGGGUGCUCCUGUCUUGUUUGUGAAGAAAAAGGAUGGUUCUAUGCGUAUAUGCAUUGAUUAUCGCCAGUUGAACAAAGUUACAGUAAAGAACCGGUACCCUUUUGCCUCGUAUUGAUGAUUUGUUUGACCACCUACAGGGUGCACGAGUGUUUUCUAAGAUUGACUUGCGUUCAGGUUACCAUCAAUUGAAGAUUCGGGAGCAGCCAUCCCAAAGACUACUUUUAGGACUCGGUAUGGUCAUUACGAGCUUCUUGUUAUGUCAUUUGGGCUGACCAAUUCCCCAACAGCCUUCAUUCAUUUGAUGCAUAGUGUGUUAUGUCCAUAUAUUGACUCGUUCGUCAUUGUCUUUAUUGAUGAUAUUCUAGUAUACACCCAGAGUCGGGACGAUCAUGAGCAGCACCUAAGGACAGUGCUUUAGACUUUGAGGGAAAAGAAGUUAUAUGCAAAGUUCUCGAAAUGUGAGUUUUGAUUGGAAUCUGUGGCAUUCUUGGGUCACGUGGUAUCGAGUGAGGGUAUACAUAUAGAUUCAAAGAAAGUGGAAGCAGUGCAGAGUUGGCCUAGACCAUCCUCAGCUACAGAGAUCCAUAGUUUUCUUGGCUUGGCGGGUUAUUAUCGUUGAUUUGUUGAGGGGUUUUCAUCUAUUGCAACACCUAUGACCAGGCUGACCCACAAGGGUGCUCCGUUCUAGUGGACAGAAGAGUAUAAGGGGAGCUUCCAGAAGCUCAAGAUGGAUUUGACUACAAUCCCAGUAUUGAUAUUGCCUACAGGUUCGGGGUCUUAAACUAUCUAUUGUAAUGCCUCGAGGAUUGGCCUUGGAGCGGUAUUGAUGCAGGACGAUAGGGGGAUUGCCUAUGCAUCCAGACAGUUGAAGGUAUAUGAGAAGAAUUAUCCUAUCCAUGAUCUCGAUUAGCUGCUAUUGUUCACGUCUUAAAGUUCUAGCGUCAUUAUUUGUACGUCGUUCCUUGUGAGAUCUAUACUGAUCACCAGAGUUUGCAGCAUCUGUUCAAGCAGAAGGAUCUUAAUUCGCGCCAUAGGUGAUGGUUAGAGCUAUUGAAGCACUAUGAUAUCACUAUCUUGUAUCAUCCGGGCAAGGCCAAUGUGGUGGUCGAUGCUUUAAGUCGUCGGGCGGAUAGUUUGGGGAGUUUGGAUUAUCUACCAGCAGCGGAGAGGCCCAUGGCGAUGGAUGUUCAGGCCUUAGCUAGCCAGUUUAUGAGAUUUGAUAUUUUGGAUCCUUGUCGGGUUCUAGCUUGCAUGAUCUCUCGGUCUUCCUUAUUUGAUUAUAUUAGAGAGCGUCAGUAUGAUGACCUUCAUUUGCUCGUCCUCAAGGACAAGGUUCUGCACGGUGAUGCCAGUGAUGUAACUAUUGGUGAUGAAGAGGUAUUGAGGAUGCAGGGUCUGGUAUGUGUACCCAAUGUUGAUAGGCUUCGGGAGUUGAUUCUAGAGGAGGCCCAUAGUUCGCGGUAUUCCAUCCAUGCGAGUGUCGCGAUGAUGUACCAGGAUUUGUGGAAGCACUAUUGGUAGAGGCAGGUGAAGAAAGAUAUAGUUUAGUUUGUAGCUUGGUGCCUUAAUUGUUAGUAGGUAAAGUAUGAGCACCAAAGACCGGGUGGGUUGCUUCAGCAGAUAGAGAUUCCGGAGUGGAAGUGGGAGGGAAUCACCAUGGACUUCGUAGUUGGACUCCCUCGAACUUUGAGGAAGUUCGAUGCCAUUUGGGUGUUGGUGGAUCGACUGACCAAGUCCGCGCACUUCAUUCCUAUGUGUACUACCUAUUCUUCAGAGCGGUUGGCAGAGAUUUAUAUCUGGGAGAUUUUUUGUCUGCAUGGUAUUCCAGUUUUUAUCAUUUCAAACAGAAUACUCAGUUCAUCACGGUUCUAGAGGGUCGUACAAUAUGAGUUGGGUACUCGGAUGGAGUUGAGCAUAGCAUUUCACCCCCAGACGGACGGACAUUCCGACGCACUAUUAAGAUUCUUGAGGAUAUGCUUCGUUCAUGUGUGAUGAAGUUUGGAGGUUCUUGGGAUCAGUUCUUGCCACUGGCAGAGUUUGCCUACAACAACAGUUAUCAGUGCAGCAUUCAGAUGGCAUCGUAUGAGACUUUGUAUAGUAGGCGGUGUAGAUCCUCGGUGGGUUGGUUUGAUCCGGGUGAGGCUAGAUUAUUGGGCACAUACUGGGUUCAAGACGUCGUGGAGAAGGUUAAGAUAAUUCAGGAUAGAUGCCAUACAGCCCAUUCCAGACAUAAGAGUUAUGCGGAUCGGAAGGUUCGUGAUGUUUCCUAUAUGGUUGGAGAGCGGGUCUUGCUUUGGGUUUUGCCUAUGAAGGGCGUUAUGAGCUUGCCUUACCUCCCAGCUUGGCAAGAGUUGUCACACCGUUUUUUUUAAAAAAAACUCACUAACCCUCUUAAAAAUAAUAGAAAGGAUUUGUAAAGCUCAAAAGGUUUUUAACUAAAAAAAGUGACAAAAUUGUGUUCAAAAGGAAAUAACUCAGAGUCGCCACCUGACUUUAAUUUCGGUGUGUCAGGUCAUCAUUUUUUUUAAAACCUUAAUUUUUCCUUUAAAACACUUUAGACUCCAAAAUUAUGUCUACACCAGAGAUUCGGGUAAGGGGGUUCAUUUGACUCGGGGAGAAGGUAUUAGGCACUCCCCAAGUCCUCCAACUAGUACGGUUGCACACUUGAUCUAGUCGACUUUCAGAAUAUUUGAAUUGAGGUAAAACAAACACAGAAAAAUAAACACACAAAACGGCUCGAGAUCGUCCCCACCUAAUAAAAGAAAAAUAAAAUAAAAACAAAAUACUACAAGCUCUACUUUUGGCCUCCAAAUACAAGUACUACGGGGCACUCCCCGGAUAAAAAUAUAUACAAAUCCUUUGGGGCAUUCCACGGAUAAAUUUAACUAAGGGAACGACCUCUCACCUCGAAACUAACAAAAAUCCUAAGGCUUGCCUAACCAAGUGUUGACGGCGUAGCAUGCUCCUAGUGAAUAAAAUGAGAAUAAGUAAAUAAGAGAAAAACUAAAAUAAAUUCGACUCGGGGUCAUGUUUUUUUAACGUAUCAUUUUCAUGUAUUUAGACCAAGCCCAAUUCCUAAAUAUGUAAGCAAAUCAACACUAAUGGGCCAAGUCUUUUUCCCAACUCCCACGUCCCAAAUCAUUCAUUCAACAAAAAAUUCAUGCAUAACUAGUAGGCGCCGAACAACUACAAAUGAAGAAAUAGAGGAAAAACUAAUAAAUAAAAUAAGGAGAAUGGAUCCAAGUAUGAUAAGAGUUGUAUUACACUAGUGUACCCCUCUUUGUGCCUUACCCCCUUCUAAUUUGAAGAUAGAUAAAGUGCAACACAUUAAAAUGCAUAUCAUAGAUUUCCAGACAGAAUAAACAAUUAUCUUAUAGCUGAAGCAAUUUCCUCAUUUAGAACCUUGGCAGUACGUAUCACUCAAAUUUCUACCCAAAUUAUGCAAUUCGCAAAACGAUGCAAAUAUUUUAAGCGACCACAAAGAGAAUUUACUAAGAGAAUACCUACUUAAAAAGUGAGCUAGCAGAGUUUCAAUACAGUGGAAAGCUGAUCAACACAAAAUAACAACAAAUAAACUUGUAUCCUAAUUAAAUGUUGUCGAAUUUUAAGAACCAAAGCAGCAGCACCCAAGCACAAGGAAUCAAGUCCAUUUAGACUGUAUCAUGACACCUCUAGACACUAUCUUUUGCAUAAAACUAACGAUGCUAAAAUAGUUAAAAAUUAGCAUGACUUAAAAAUUAUUUUAACACCCAAAGAACCUCAUCUAGAUCGCUUUAGGCAAGAAGUUGCAGUAUAACAUAGAAAGAUUGAGCAGAACCAACAGCGAGAAUAAUUUUAAAGGAAUUCCAGUACUUAUUUCAUGCCGAAACCGACAAAAAUCAGCAAAACACUCAUGACGAUCAUAAGGAAUGUGUCAUUAAUUAGAUAUUCAUUCAAACAUCCAUACUACUAAUUCGUUUCACUCAAACAUAUCAGAACCAAUAUAAAAUCCUCAUGAUUCAUGAGGAAAUCGCAUCACAUGCUAAUUCCAACCAAACAAACUUGCAAAAAAUUUCUAAACUAAUAAAAUCCGGAUUACUAUCAGAUUACUAUCAAUACCAUAACAAGUUUAGAGGGAGUAAAGAGAUGAACCUGAAGUUGAAUUUUUCUUUGAUAAUAGAAGUGAGGUCGACUACAGAGCUUUGACUCCAAAAUCCCAGCAAACAAAUAACAGAAAUUCAAACUAGGAACUGCGAACCAAUAGCAAGACUCGGACGGCGCAGGAAAACCCGAUCUCGACGACAAACUAAACAAUCUUCAAACUUCCAACGAAUUCUAUUGUUGAAGCAGAAAAUCCGAAAUAAGAAGAAUCUAAAAUUAUUUGUUGUUUUU